rnacentral:rRNA from 1 species
AUACGGAGGGUGCGAGCGUUACUCGGAGUCACUGGGCGUAAAGCGUCCGUAGGCGGUCGGGUAAGUCGGGUGUGAAAGCCCCGGGCUCAACCUGGGAAGUGCACCCGAUACUGCUCGACUCGAGUGCGGGAGAGGAUGGCGGAAUUUCCGGUGUAGCGGUGAAAUGCGUAGAGAUCGGGAGGAACACCAGUGGCGAAGGCGGCCAUCUGGCCCGCAACUGACGCUGAGGGACGAAAGCGUGGGGAGCAAACAGGAUUAGAUACCCUGGUAGUCC